AUUUUGCCCAAUGGACGAAAGUCUGAGGCAGCAACUCCGCGUGAGGGACGAAGGCUCUAGGGUCGUAAACCUCUUUUCUCAGGGAAGAUCCAAGACGGUACCUGAGGAAGAAGCCACGGCUAACUACGUGCCAGCAGCCGCGGUAAUACGUAGGUGGCAAGCGUUGUCCGGAUUUACUGGGCGUAAAGAGCGCGCAGGCGGCUGGUCAAGUCCGAUGUGAAAUCUCCCGGCUCAACUGGGAAACUGCAUCGGAAACUGAUCGGCUUGAAGGUGGGAGAGGGCAGUGGAAUUCCCGGUGUAGUGGUGAAAUGCGUAGAUAUCGGGAGGAACACCAGUGGCGAAGGCGACUGCCUGGCCCAUUCUUGACGCUGAGGCGCGAAAGCUAGGGGAGCGAACGGGA
rnacentral:rRNA from 1 species